rnacentral:tRNA from 1 species
UAGAAUGUGGUGUAAUGGAAGCACGGAGAGUUUUGAGUUCUUUGAUGUGGGUUCGAGUCCUAUCAUUCUAGA